UAAGCGGAGGAAAAGAAACUAACAAGGAUUCCCCUAGUAACUGCGAGUGAAGCGGGAAAAGCUCAAAUUUAAAAUCUGGUGGUCUUUGNCCAUNCGAGUUGUAAUCUAGAGAAGCGUCUUCCGCGCUGGACCGUGCACAAGUCUCCUGGAACGGAGCGUCGUAGAGGGUGAGAAUUCCGUCUUUGGCAUGGACACACCAGGGCUUUUGUGAUGCGCUCUCGAAGAGUCGAGUUGUUUGGGAAUGCAGCUCAAAAUGGGUGGUGAACUCCAUCUAAAGCUGAAUAUUGGCGAGAGACCGAUAGCGAACAAGUACCGUGAGGGAAAGAUGAAAAGCACUUUGGAAAGAGAGUGAAACAGUACGUGAAAUUGUUGAAAGGGAAACGCUUGAAGUCAGUCGCGUCGACCGAGACUCAGCCUCGCCUCGGCUUGGUGUACUUCUCGGCCCGACGGGUCAGCAUCAAUUUCGCCUCUUGGAUAAUGGCGAGGGAAACGUGACACCUUUACGGUGUGUUAUAGUCUCUCGUCGCAUGCAAGGGUCGGGAUUGAGGAACUCAGCACGCGCCUUUGGGUGUCGGGGCUUUGCCUACGAUACGUGCUUAGGAUGUUGGCGUAAUGGCUUUAAACGACC
rnacentral:rRNA from 1 species